rnacentral:rRNA from 1 species
AACAGGGAUUGCCUUAGUAGCGGCGAGUGAAGCGGCAAAAGCUCAAAUUUGAAAUCUGGCGCCUUCGGUGUCCGAGUUGUAAUUUGAAGAUUGUAACCUUGGGGUUGGCUCUUGUCUAUGUUUCUUGGAACAGGACGUCACAGAGGGUGAGAAUCCCGUGCGAUGAGAUGCCCAAUUCUAUGUAAGGUGCUUUCGAAGAGUCGAGUUGUUUGGGAAUGCAGCUCUAAGUGGGUGGUAAAUUCCAUCUAAAGCUAAAUAUUGGCGAGAGACCGAUAGCGAACAAGUACAGUGAUGGAAAGAUGAAAAGAACUUUGAAAAGAGAGUGAAAAAGUACGUGAAAUUGUUGAAAGGGAAGGGUUUGAGAUCAGACUCGAUAUUUUGUGAGCCUUGCCUUCGUGGCGGGGUGACCCGCAGCUUAUCGGGCCAGCAUCGGUUUGGGCGGUAGGAUAAUGGCGUAGGAAUGUGACUUUACUUCGGUGAAGUGUUAUAGCCUGCGUUGAUGCUGCCUGCCUAGACCGAGGACUGCGAUUUUAUCAAGGAUGCUGGCAUAAUGAUCCCAAACCGC